UACAGAGGUCUCAAGCGUUGUUCGGAUUCAUUGGGCGUAAAGGGCGCGUAGGCGGCGGGGUAAGUCGGGUGUGAAAUCUCAGAGCUCAACUCUGAAACUGCACUCGAUACUGCUCUGCUUGAGGACUGGAGAGGAGACUGGAAUCCACGGUGUAGCAGUGAAAUGCGUAGAUAUCAAGAGGAACACCAGUGGCGAAGGCGAGUCCCUGGACGAUACCUGACACUGAGGCACGAAAGCCGGGGGAGCAAACAGG
rnacentral:rRNA from 1 species